GCGAGCCGUAUGCGGGGAAAGCUCGCACGUACGGUUCUUCGGGGGCCGCAUUUCCAGGAGGAAAUGCGGCUACCCUCU
rnacentral:ncRNA from 1 species